rnacentral:pre_miRNA from 12 species
UAAAGAUACACAGAGGACUUUUCUUUCCAGUUCUUCCCAGAGUAGGGAAAAGCUGGAUUGAGAGGGCAGCAAAGAAAAAAAA